UCUCUGAGUAGCAGUGACAGAGGUGAGGGUAAUAUUUAUACAUAGCCCUGAACAUUUUGGGCUUAUAGGUCAUCUUUGAAAGAGGAAAAUUCCAUUCAGGUCUGUAAUGAUUUUCAUGAACAGAGUCUCCAGAUGCUAGAGAGCACAGAGGGUCAGAUGGAAACUUCAGUGCAAGUCUGUUUCUUUAGAACACUUUGUCAGCACAUUGCUGAGUCAUCUGCCCUUGGGGGCAUGCCUUACUAUCCUCGAGUCUUUACUCAGCCACCUCCCUUGUUUGGUGAUGUAUAUUUGCCUGUGUUUUUUCAGAUAACUGUGGUCCACAGCUGCAUAACUGAGUACCACUUGUCCCACGAUGUGUGUUCUCCAUCUCUCAGGUCCUAGAGUCCACGGCCUCCAUUGCCUCAUCUUGUGCGAAUGGACUUGCAUCUGCAGCUGGAGAAAGAGAUUUCUGGUUAGUGAAUAUUGGCAAAGAUUCUAGGAAAGUUUAAGUUUUACUGAUGAAAGAGUGGAAUGCAGACAAGAUUCCGACUGGAGUAGCCCAGGAGAAGAGACUGUCAGAUAAAGCUGAAAGGUAAAUUCCUUAUCUGCUUGUCUAACGAGACUAGGUAUAUUUAUGCCCUUAAUACCUUAUAACCAUCAGUUCAGUACCAGAAAUGCGUGAAACUCUGUUUUCUAGGGUUUUUUUUUUUUAAGUUUGUAUUAACAAAUAGAGACAUUAAAAGACACACAUCAUCUCUUGAGGCGUGACAUAGCCAUUCAUCUCCAUUGCCAUCAGAAAUCACCUGCCACCUGCACCCUCACCUUCUUCUGUGCAAAAAGCACCUUUGUUUGGCAGAAGACCCUCAAGAAUCCGGGAAAAAGUCUUCUUCCUCUACACCCAGUUGAAUUCCUAAAUCAACACAAUGCAAGAUCCACUGGUUAAAAAGAACAUGAAUGGAUAAUUUUUUCCUACUCAUGGGUCGCAGCCUGAGGGACUUGCUCUGGCUUCCGACCCUCGUGGGGAGGCAGCAGCCCUGGUUAGUGGGUGGGCUUGGUGGCUCCUCUUGUGGUGUUGGGUCAGCACAGCAGCUGCAAGUCAGAGGGUCACCUGUCCUUUCAUACCAGCAAAGGUUCAUUUUCCUCAGUGUUUGCCCAAGGGCAGGAACAUACAUUUACUGAUGACCAAUUCAGUUUUUCCAGAGGUCCAUGUGUUUCUGAAUUCAGAAUUUUAGAAUCUAGUAAAGUGCAUAUCGUCAAAUAAUCUAUUUAAAGAGCUAGGGAAAGACUUGGGGAAAGACUUUCCAAUUUCUCACUUCACUUCCAGUGUGAGAUGUUAUUUAUAUAUGCAAAACUGGGAGGUGUAUAUGUAUAUACACAUCUAAUAAGAAUAACUUGAGUUGAGCGACCCUAAGAUGCUACCGUUUGUUUCAUCCUU
rnacentral:lncRNA from 1 species